rnacentral:SRP_RNA from 1 species
GCUGGGCAUGGUGGUGGGCGCCUGUAAUCCUUGCUACUUGGAGGCUGAGGCAGGAGGAUCGCUGAACCCGGGAGGGCAGGAGUGCAGUGAGCUGAGAUUGCAUCACUGCACUCCAGCCCGGGUGACAGUGUGAGACUCUGUCUCAG